rnacentral:rRNA from 1 species
CCUACGGGAGGCAGCAGUGGGGAAUAUUGCACAAUGGGGGAAACCCUGAUGCAGCGACGCCGCGUGAGUGAAGAAGUAUUUCGGUAUGUAAAGCUCUAUCAGCAGGGCAGAAAUAAAGUCCUUCGGACUUUGGACGGUACCUGACUAAGAAGCCCCGGCUAACUACGUGCCAGCAGCCGCGGUAAUACGUAGGGUGCAAGCGUUAUCCGGAUUUACUGGGUGUAAAGGGAGCGUAGACGGCAGCGCAAGUCUGGAGUGAAAUCCCAUGGCUUAACCAUGGAACUGCUUUGGAAACUGUGCAGCUGGAGUGCAGGUGAGGUAAGCGGAAGUCGUAGUGUAGCGGUGAAAUGCGUAGAUAUUAGGAGGAACACCAGUGGCGAAGGCGGCCUGCUGGACGAUGACUGACGUUGAGGCUCGAAAGCGUGGGGAGCAAACAGGAUUAGAUACCCGGGUAGUC